ACCCUCGCCAGGCCCCGCCUCCCCCCUCCGUCCCCCACUCUGCCCAGAAAGAAGAGGCUUUACCGGGCUGCUGGGCGUCCAGGUUUUCGCAGGGGACGUCGUCGUAAAUCACAUCUUCUUCCAGGGCGGGGAAAGUAAACCGCUCGACUGCGAAAGAAGGACAGGGAGGGAGCACGAAUGAGGUUGUGGCGCCCAGCGGGAGGCGGCCGCCAGACUGACAUCAGGACUGCACCAGCCGGCAGCUCGCUCCGCCCGCCCGCGUCCCCGCGGCCCGGACGGGCCAGCAGCCUGCAGCCCGGCCCCUAGGGAGCCCCCGCCGGCCACUGCUCUCGGAAGACUGGGACAGCUGCCUCUUCCCGCCCCCAGCCCUCCAAGGAGCCCUCCCAAAGGCCGCGGAAGCCCCGCCUGCUUCAGCAGGCCUGCGCACCUGGCUGAUGGCACCUGCAGAGAGCCUGAAGCGACGCAGCAGCACUGGGCCGGCCUCGGAAGCCUCUUAAGCCGCCCAGGCCCCCAGGACUGCCCCCAAAGGAGUCACCUGGUACCCAGAGGUGGGGGAGGGCAAGGCAGCCACCCUGACUACACAUGAUGGCAGGGAGCAGGGAUGAUGGGAUUUGGAGAGUGGGGUUAAGGACAGUCCCCCAAAACUAAGCCAGUGGGGUCUUGACUGGUUAAAAAAAAAAAAUCAGCAAAUGAGCAUGCUAUUCCCUUAACACUUUGCUGGGUGGACUAUAAGCAGGGCAGAGCACACACCCUACCCAUGUUAGUAGCUCCGGAAACAGAAUAUUUACAGAGGUCUUGCCCCCUAAAACUGUGUGCCUAGUCUGUGCCCUCUUUAGGGACAUGCAGCCCUGCCGAGAGAGGUUUUGGAAAACCAGCCCCCAGCCCUGCGGGGGACUUGUCCUCCCCCCACAGGCCUUCCAGGAACAGAGGACCAGAUGAACUCUGAAGUUCCUCCCUACCCUGUUGCCUCCUGUGGUCACAGGGCCUCCAAAGCCCUGUAGGACCCUUACCGCCCCCUCCCACCAGCACAGAUUCUGCCUCUCAAGUGGCCAUCAGACCUGCCCACCUCUCUCCAGGUCCCUAGCUCCAGCCGUCGCCUGCCUCCCCCAGACAGCAUCCAGCCCACUACCUUCUCCCAAAGCAUCAGUGAUGUGACUGAAAUGCAGACGUGGCCGCACAGCUGGCUCCCUGGCACCUUUGGGAAAGCAGGGCCUCCAAGGCCUCCCCCCUGCACCCUGGGAGGACCUGGGGAGAUGGCAGCCUCACUGGGCCCUGCUCACCCCUAGACCCUCCCCUCCACCACACCAAGACUCACUGCUUCCCCAGUGACAGGCAUCCCCUUGCCCUCGACCUGGACACUCUGGCCCUGAUGCCUGCUCCUCUGUGUUCUGCCUCGGGCCUCGUGGGCUCUCUCAGCUCCCACCCUCUGCCUGGCACCCGCCCUCUGCACAGUGACUUUAAGCAGCCACAUGUGGCUAGCAGCCCCCAAACAGGAUGGCACAGGCCUAAGCUCCGGCACUAUUGGAGAAGCAUCUCAACUCCAGUUUUGCUGCCAGAAGUGAGCAGAGUCACCCCGGGGGUGAGGGGCGCGUUUCAGUCCCGGGGUAACGCUUUCUGCCAGUGGGAAGUAAAGGCCAAGAUGGGACAGAGCUGGUCUGGAGGGAGUCACCGGGGCCCUGGCCGCUAACGACAGUGCUAGGUCACCACCGUCUUAACCAGGAGACGUCGCAAAGCACCGCGUCCAGCUCAGAUGGAACCAAACAUUCCAGCUGAAGUCAGCAUGAACUAGACUCACAGACUUAGAGAACAAACUUAGGAAUGCAUGUGAAGCAGGCAGCAUGGUCCUCACGCUAAGAUGGGAAAACUGAGCCCCUCAAAGUCUUGACAACUCUACCCAAAGUCACUCGGCUCAUCCGAGGGAGCUGGGACCUGCAGCCUGGACUGUCCGCCUGCAGAGUCUGCGUUCUUCCCACCAGACCAUGUGGAAGGAGGGAAUCUGCAUUCAGACCUUCACCGAAAGCAGGUUCACUGUGCCACAAGGCCACGGAACCUCGCUUGACUCCUCUCCCAUCCAUGUUUUCAAAAGGAGAGAGAGAAAGAGUGCUCAGCAUAGACAGAGUCAGAGACACAAGUUCAAGGCUCUGUCCUGGAGAAAUCGUAACACCCAGCAGCAAGGCAUCUCCACUAGAGGACACGGGAGAAGGCCCUGGGUAAUUUCAAAAGGUGACACGGAGAACGGAUGUGGGUAUUUGGGGGUGAAGUCAGACAACUUUAGAAUGGAUCUGGAAAUAUUUUAUGACAUACUAAAAGCCACUGUGGGGUUGAAAAUAUGAGUCCCUGUUUUCACAUUACCAAAUCGUAGUGAACUUACUUUUUCAUUUUAUUUCAUUUUAAGUAAUUUAAAUAGCUACAUGUGAUUAGUGGCCCCCGAACAGGACAGCGUAGCUCUAAGCCACUGGCCCAACUAGAGAUGCUGGUCUGGGCUCCGGCUUCUGUUGAGCAGCUGUCAGGGCACUGGUCCUGGCUUCCUGGGUGGGGAAGCGGGGGUCCAACAGUCACCUUCACGCCCACCUUGACUGUCCCCACGGCCGAGGGAAGCAGAGAGACCAGGAGCCCCUAAGGAGGGAAGAGGCUGGUGCCCGUGGGUGGACAGGCCUUCCCAGGCCUCGCUACAGACCACCACCCCCCGUGCUCUGCACGUUGGGGUGUCUCCUCUGCACCCAGGGCUCCGCAGAGUGCUUGAGGACAAGUGCGUGUCCUAUUAUGACCAUCUUACAGAUGGGAAAAGUGAGGUUCAGAAUAGGCAAUUACCUUGCCCCAGAUCACCUGACCAGCAAGCGCCAGAUCUGCCAUUUACCUGCAAAGUCUCAUCCUCCUCGACCCCAGGCAGGGGGAGGGAAGAGACCCCCCAGGCGAGGGAAGCAGUGGGCAUGGAAGGAAAUGA